GACGGAGGGGGCAAGCGUUGUUCGGAAUUAUUGGGCGUAAAGAGUUCGUAGGCGGUUUGUCGCGUCCGUUGUGAAAGCUUGGGGCUCAACCCCAAGUCUGCAGUGGAUACGGGCAGACUAGAGGUAUGCAGGGGAGAACGGAAUUCCUGGUGUAGCGGUGAAAUGACGCAGAGUAUCAGGGGAAGAACCGAGCCGGUAGG
rnacentral:rRNA from 1 species